CCCUGCCAUUUGUACACACCGCCCGUCGCUACUACCGAUUGAAUGGCUUAGUGAGACCUCUGGAUUUCAUUGAUGAACUGGCAACAGUGAUUCUUUGAGAGAAACUGGUCAAACUUGGUCAUUUAGAGGAAGUAAAAGUCGUAACAAGGU
rnacentral:rRNA from 1 species